ACCUGCCCCACCCCCCGGGAGGCCAGUCUCUGAGGGCAUGGGAGGAAGAGAGGGGCAAUCUGAAUGGGUUUUAAUGAGCCAUCCCAUUGGCUGGAGGAAAGGGGCAGAAACCGCCAACCUGCCUAGAUUGGGCCUGGGUCGGCUGGUUUGUGCCUAAGCUUGGAGAAGCGCAGAGCUCUGCUAUCUGGAGUUAGCCCAACCCCGGGGCCCAAGAGCUUUAGGGAGGUUUUGCACCCACUGCCCCCUUUCCUCAUUGCAUUUCAUGGAGAAGUGGGGAGGGGUCGGGCCUGGCUCGCUCCUGAGGACUGGUGAUGGUGCGCAGCCCGCUGUAGGACUCAGGCUGACCUUCCCCCACUGUCGAACCCGCCCCUCUGUCCAGGGAGGGGGGUGGGUUCAAACCACAGCCCGGUUCUGAGCAUUCCUACCUUGGUUCAAUACGACAGGCCAAGCCCAACCUGGUCCUGGGGCAUGCGUUAGUAUUUCUAUGUGCGCCGAUCAUCCGCGGGGAGGGCGAGCUGCAGCCCGCAAGAGCAGCUCCUGGCGCAGGCGGGAGGCCAUGGGCCCCCUGACCUGCAGUCACACAGGAGGGGAAAGGGGAUCUCAGCUGGUCUCUUGCUCUAACCUCCCCAUGCACCACAUGAUCCAAGCUGUGACUUGCAGCCCCGCUGAAGCGAAUAAAGCUCUUUAAAUGAA